rnacentral:lncRNA from 1 species
GGGCCCUUCUGUCACCUGUGCACGCGCGCUCCUGCGUGAAUAUUGUCAUCGAGUGGCAUGGGCACCACUGACCACCUCCUGCCAUUUCAGUCAAGAAACAGGUAAGUGUGGUGCCACCUUACAAAAUACCUUUUGGACUUCAGAGUUGUGGAUAAGGGCUUGUGGGAGGUGGUCAGGGUGACUUCUCCAGGUGUUUAGCUUAAGCAGGUGAGUGGGUGAUGAUGAUGUGGAACAACCUAGGGAACAGUUUUAGGGAGACAGUUGUUUCCUCCAGGUUGCUUUGGGGACAGCUAGCUAUAUAGCCAGAAUGUGAGAGGACCAGGAACAGAGAGAGGUGAGCAGGGAUUGGAGGAGACUGUUUUGAAGCCGUUCUGUAAACAGGACGUCCUGUGGGCCGAGAAGAGAUCAGGGGCCUGCAGAUGCCUUGAACUGAGAAAGCCUUCCAGAGCUGCACCUCGGCUUCAUGCUCCCCGCAGACCCAUUGUGCCCUGCUCCUUUGCUGCCUGCAGACACAACCGGAGACCUCGGCUCAAGUAAACCUGACUCCUUGAUGGAGUCACCACCUAGUACCUAGCAUUUCUAACUGUCCACCCACUCUUUAAACUCUCCUCCCGGAAGAAGCAGCAGGGGCCUUGACUUGUUACCUGGGAGCAUAGUGACUCUCUGGGCUUGAUUAUCCUGAAGUUCAUUAUUUGUUGUUUAGGGCCUUUUUUGUGUGUGUGUUUGAUACUGGGGAUAGAACUUGAGACCUUGUGCUUUCGAGGCAGCCGCUGGAACCACUAAGCUAAAUCCCUGGGCCUUUAUUUUAACCCCAUGAAUCUUAUAGUUGGGGGAGGAGAGAUAUUGUGCCCUAUUCAGAGGUAUGUACUGUAACCACAUCUACUCUGUCCAGCACAGCACAAUCCACCUGUGUGAUUCUAACACAGACAGAAUGGUGACACAGCGGUUUGUGCUAUGCUUGUAUUCAAGUGGAAGAUGAUGAAAGCGAGAACCAAGGGAAAGUUCAAAGGAAUCAGACCAAGAGGUUAUUGUGUUGGUGUCCAGGAAGAGAGGGAAUGGUAGAAAGGCAUUGCCUUCUUAAAUAAACA